UGCACAGUGGUGCAAUUGCCUAAUGACGCCAUUUUCAGAUUGUAUUCCCAUCAUCAAGCAACAUUUGGCAGUGUUUAAACUUUGUGUCUCAGAUAUUCCACCUGAAAAUGCAGGAAAAUAAUAAACUACCCCCAAAAUCACCAUGUACAUUAAAUACAUUUAAACAUUUUAGAGGAGAGAAUCGACUAGUGAAGUCACUGAGUUUUGUUAAUUCUUAUUAAUGGUGACACAGAUUCCAGGACAACUGUGUCUCUUUAGUUUCCUGCUCUGGUUGAGAAUUAGGGAUGGUUGACAAGGAAAGCUGGAAUGAUGGCCUCAGAGACUUAUUGUUCAACACAUAAAUUUGGAGUCCUGAGGAGAGGAACGAAGGAGUCAGAUGCAUUUUCUCCUAGGUCUCUAGAAAAUCAAUCACAUGGACAUGAGCAGGCACAGUCCAAUAAUCAGGAGAUGGGGGGAGGAAACAUUUACAAAGCAUUUGUAGCACCAAAGGAAUGAGAGUGAAGAACACAGCAUCCUUGCUUUCUAUGGAACAGCCGUAAAGUGCUAAAGUAUUAGAAAUGUUAGUGAUCAUUACAUUUGAGAUUAUUUAGUCCAGCUGACCCAUUUGCAGACACAGAGCAUAAUAGUCAGGAAGAUAAUUUUAUCAAGAUUAUAUAUUACCUUCUAGAAGAGUUGGAAGAAUAUGCAUAAUUUCUGCUUCCCAGUCAGGAAAGCAGAGCUGUCCCUACUAACUAAUCUGUACAGGACACACAUUAAUUUCCUUUGCAUGUUAAUUUCCUAUUCCUUUUUUAUCAACAUCCUGACCAUAAAUUCUAAAUCUCAGUUUUGCAGAAUGGACCAAACCAGAAGGUGUCAGAGUCUAGUGACUAGACAGGGUAGGGAGGCAACUUUACUUCUAUUUUCUUAAGGCCAGCAUCUGGGCCUGAGAAGUAAAAAAUCCUUCAACAGAUUAACAAUAGCAAAUUGUGAAAAUUUAAUAAAGUUUUAUAUGAAACAAGGGCCCUCAUAAAAAAUGAAGACCCAAAGAAGUUCCAAAACGUAAAUAUCAUUUGAAUCAUGUUG
rnacentral:lncRNA from 1 species